rnacentral:lncRNA from 1 species
GCAGUUUCUGGAUUUUAUCAAAAAUUCUAACUUUUAAGUCAAACUUUUCAUUUCAGCUUUUGGGUUCCUUUUGUUUCAGCUUGUUUUAUUUGAUUUCUAAAAAAGAUAUAAUUUUGUUGGCGUGUUUAAAGAAAAAGGUUUUAAUUUUUCUUUUCAAUAAACUUUUGGUGAAGAAUAACCGAAGCUUUUACCUCAGUGAUGGUACCCUUGAUGAGAAUUUUUAUGUGUUUCUAUGUAAAGGUUUACUAUAUCUGUAUUUUUUCUCUGCUUUGAAUAUGUAGUAGUGAUUAUGUGUCAAGUGUGUUAUAAUCCUCUUGAUUCUGGUCGAUUUGAAAAAAAAAGUGUCUAUAUUCAAUGUACUUACGAGUAUUACUUUGGUUUUUGGUUUUGGGUGUACACAUUCAAUGUAUCACAUGCAAAUUUUAGUUAGUUAACAUACCCCUACCUACCCAUGUCAGGUUCUAUAUAGACUAAUUUUUUGUAAUAAUAAUGUAAAAAGUGACAGGUGCGCAGAAUCGGUAAGUGAACCAUGUAACUAUGAUUAAGAGUUUAUAUUGAUUCUGUCAAUGUUAACACCAACAAGUUGUUCUAACUAUUUUGGUGGCUAAAACAUUGUGAUUAGAAAAGUUGUAAAUUCAGAUCUACAUCUUUGAAAUUUAAGUUUUACCAAGAACCUUCUGGUUUUGAUUAGUUAAACAUGUGUUUUUAAAGUCCAAGGUUGUAGACAAACCAUUCAAGGGGGAAAGGGGUUGUUUUUUUUAAUCUUGUCAAAGGUUUGAUUUUGUUCAAAGUGUUUCAUUAAAAUUUUAGAAUUCAUACUUUUAUAGUUGUAAGCGAUGUUUUCACUUCAAUUUAGAUGGUGAUUUCUAAUUACUAACCAACUUCUUUUCAAUAGGAUUCCCUAACAAGAGACUUGUGCUGCUGUGGCUAUUGGCUUCUGAAGAGUUUCGCUGCGAAAUUUUGAUACCAUUGCGUAUAUGGCUGUGGCUUUUACCAAUCUCUCGUGGUGGUUGUGGAGUGGAAAACAUCAGGAGCCAGGGAUCCCAAAUGGCUCUUCUAAAAAUUCUUCGGCCGAUCCGAAUGUGUGGGAAUCAGAUAUUUUGAGGUUUCCUUUGGUUAUGCAGGAAAAUCUAGGUUCCUCGUCAAGAAGGGUGAAGCGCAAAUGGCAUAGUAGGGAAGAGCGAAAGGUAGAUAGGGAAUAUGAUGUUGUUCUAGUUCCGUCUGAUGGUGGGUGUGUUUCCGGUUCCGAAUCCGAUGAUUCUGAUUGGUCAAUUGGCUGGUCAGAACCUCUUGGACCUGGCUUCCCAAGCGAUGAUGAAGCCGAUAACAGUUUCGCUGUUCUGGUUCCCUGUUAUGGAAGAGAUUAUGGUAGAAUGGUGCAGGAUCCAAGAAGAAACUUGCCAAAUGGUGCUGGGAACUUUCCAAAUAGUUAUUCAGAUGGUAAGAGCACUUCCAUUAGCAUCUACUAGAGUUACCUUUGUGCUGGGUUGAAAUUGAUUUUCUCAAAGACUUCAAUUUUUUUACCGAAGCUGUGCAUGUAAAAACGAUUUCAGAGCUCAGUUCUAAGCAUUGGUUCUUUAUUUUUAACAUCAUAGAAGUUCACACUUUAGACCCAACAAGAUGUUUUGUUAAGCAUAUCAUUUUGCAGUUAAUGUUACAUCUGAUUUAUUUCGUCUAUGAGAAUGGAAGAUAUUUCGUUUUGAUAUGAAUGAAGAUAAGCAAAUAUCUUAGCAAUCUUGCUUGACACCUUUAUAUUUAAGGACCAUGAGAGGCAAAUGUAAUUUGGACAAAACUUAGGUCUUGUUAUGUGUUGCAGUUAUUACUUAUUACACAUUUUACAUUUUCAUUGAUGAGUUGUUAAACAUGUUAGGUUCAUAUUGGAAAACAACACUACAAAUACCAACACCUAAGGUUUGUCCAUGUAAUUUGGCUUGAGGAUGAUAGGAUGUUAAUUUAGAACUCUUAUUCAUUUAUCUUAGUUAGUUUUCCGUGCCUUAGCUUUGGAAGAAACUUCACUAUUUUAUAGGAUAUCUAAGGCCUUUACAUGGUUAGCUUUAUGCAUGACCCAUGAGUUUGGUGCAACGGUAAAGUUGUUGCUUAGUGACCAAUGAGGUCACAGGUUCAAAUCAUGUAAACAGCCUUUCCACUUAUGGAGGUAAAACUGCGUACAUGUACUCUCCCCAUACCCCACUAAGUGGGAGCCUCUUGGACCGGACAACCUUUUUUUUAAUAUUGAU